CUUUGCCCUGCCCAAAUAGCAAAGCUCCUAAAAUUAACAUAUGGCGCCCCCUGUUUGGACGUAAAGCUCCUAAAAUUAACACGUGUUACGUCCACCUUUGGGAGGGUGCGUUGCGUCCAAUUUAAGCGAAUAUUUAUUCUUCUAAAAUCUACCCAAUGGGAAUCCGUGUGCAAAGUAGCUACUCUUAAAAAACCUCGGACGAACAGAGUGCUGUCAAGAUCGGCAAAACUGCAAUGGAGUUUUCAUCGGCUGCCCCAAAUUCUUCAUCGGCUUCGUCGAACUCCCGUAAUCGUCGGAGCCCAUUUCGGUACUGUCACUGCACCUGCUUCAGGCGCUGCUCUCGCUGCUUUUGCUGCUGCUAUUCCUACCCUUAAAAAAUGUAGUAGAUUCUCUGGUCUCCGGUUUCAAGAUUUUAUUUUUUCUUCUUCUUUUACCGAAACGUGUUUUAUUUAGAUAUACAAAAUUAGUUAUGCUCGUAUAUGUAAUUAUUUACAUCUGUAAAAACUAUUAUUUAUUUUGGGAAUAAAUUUAACUGUGUUUAGCUGAUUUGAAAAAAUUUCUUGUUUUUAUAGCUUCGCAGUUCUUGUUGAAGACUAAAUUACAUAAUUAAUGUGUUCCAUCUUUAAUUGUUCAAGGGUUACAGGUGAGGAGAGCCAUGGAAGGUACUAGCUUUAACUAUUGCCACUAUUCAUUUAUUGAAAUCGUUUAUGUACUGGGCUUUUGAUAAAAAUUGAAUCUUGUCUAGGGCACAUGUUGAACGCAAAUUUUGAAUAAAUAAAUGUUUCACAUUGUUGAGAGCUUAAGCUUUUAGACCAUGUAGAUCAACAAUGCUUGUGUUUGACGUAUAGUUGUCACCUAAACAAGAUUUUUGUGGUUCCUUCAGCUUCUUCUUUUCCCUCUCAUGAUAUGGACUUUGUUUAUGACAAUCGCUGAAUGAAAUUCGAGGCUGUGAUAAUUCUUUAUUUGUAUGGAAGGAUGUUUUACUGCAUUUACUAUAUAUAUGUCUAAGUAGUUAGUACAACAGGAUAUAAGUUUGUUUGGGUCUACUUUGGAAUUUUGGAGAGUUUGCUAAUGUUUAUAAACGGUUUACAAACAUUCAAGCCACUGUUAUCCUUGUAUUUUGAGAGACCCACGAGUCGUACCUACUUAUUUAAAUUUUAGCUUCAACUGUUUCAGUUUCAGCUUAGGUUUGGCAACGUUUAAGGCGGGUUCCUUCACCCCCGCCUCGC
rnacentral:lncRNA from 1 species